rnacentral:misc_RNA from 1 species
UACAGAGGGGGCAAGCGUUGUUCGGAAUUACUGGGCGUAAAGGGCGCGUAGGCGGCCUGCCAAGUCGGACGUGAAAUCCCUGGGCUCAACCCAGGAACUGCGUCCGAUACUGGUUGGCUUGAAUUCGGGAGAGGGAUGCGGAAUUCCAGGUGUAGCGGUGAAAUGCGUAGAUAUCUGGAGGAACACCGGUGGCGAAGGCGGCAUCCUGGACCGAGAUUGACGCUGAGGCGCGAAAGCCAGGGGAGCAAACGGG